ensembl:lncRNA
CGCCGGGAGCCGCGGCCGAACGGCGCGGGGCCGCCGGAGGCUGCAGCCCCGGCCGGAGCGGAGAGAGGAGGAGGAGGACGAGGGAGAAGGGGAAGAAAAGGAGGUGCGGGGCUGUGCGCUGCUGCCCUCGGGCUGACGAUGCUGUUUCGCCUCCGGCCGUCUGCAUGUACAGUGAGGCAGCACCUGGCUGCAAGUUGCACACGCGCUGCAAGCGCUUCCUUCCAGUCCCGGAGCUGGUUUCUGCUCUCACUGGGAUGGUGUUCCAAGCUGGGACUGCUCUGCGUGGCAAGCUUGGGAGUUGGGUUGAAAAGUGGUGCUGUAAUCCCACAAGUGUUCACCAUUCUCUACCCAGUGCGUGCUUUGUGGUGCCGCAAAAGCUCUUGUUGCUGCCCCAAAGCAGGGUAGAAGGAAUGGGUCCGAUAUUUUGCUGUCAUCUGUGACAAUUCAGAAAAGGACCGAUGCCUGGGAUGAGGGGAGCAAGUGGGAGAGCAGUGAAGGUGUUUUCCAAUUCCCCUCCCCAGGACGAAAACCAUCCUCUGCACACCUGGACCUUUUGGUGCUCACAGGGAAGAUCUGAUCUCUGGAUUUAAUGAAAGAAAUGUGCUUGCAUCACUGCUUUGCAUCUGUGGGGCUCUGCGGGAGCCGCUGUGUGUGUCUGGCCCUGCACUCACCACCCUCAGGAAGGCUUUCCCUGGGCAGGAUGCUGAGGAAGGGGAAGGAAGGCUAAACCUUCAUUUUGGGGAUGCCAAAGCCUCCAUCCGCUCAGCCUGGAGAUGGAGGCAGGCAGUGCACAGCUCUGGUUUCUUGGUUCCUGUGGGGAAGAGGCCCUGCACUGUGUCAGCAUCCCCUCAGCAGAGUUUAACUGCAAAUUGGUUCAAGAAAUGUAUGCAAAUAAGGAGACUUUGAUCUCCAGCUGCCUGUGCUGGUGCAUGGGGAGUGGGUAAAGCUUCCUAACAUCCCAGGCUGAAUGACUGUUUUAUUUGCCUGUGAUGAAUUGUUCAUAUUUUACUUUAUGGAAACCAUAUUUAGGGUGUAAAUACUGAGUACGAUAAGCAGAUGCAAGAAGAAUGAGCCUGGUGGUGGCCUUGCUUGGACAACACUGCAAUGCUGAGCAAAGGGAGGUGAGGCAGAAAAGCAAAAGCCCACCGAGCACUGUGUGCCAGGCAGUCGAGAGCGAUGUCCUGACCUGACCCUGCACAGAUCUAAUGUGUAGAGCUGUAGAGCUCCACACCUGGUCACAGCUUGGGCCCCACCGUGGCUCCCGCUGCGAGCACUGGGGCUGGCAGGAGCUGUCCCUUGUUGGAGUUGUGUAGUAGAGGUAUCCCAGAAGCCACACCUGUGGGAGCAGCCAGAGGGAAGAAGCAGGGAAAUGUGCUUGCUGGGCUCAGGCUGCAUGCUAUGGAGUGUACACUCUGCUGCUCUGGAACAAACAGCAGUUCUUACUUUCUUGCCUUGCUUUGAGUCAGACAGCUGGGUUCCAGCAAGGAAAGCUUUCCUGCCUUUGUUUUGCUUUUCUUUGGUGUCUUUCAUUUGAAUGGCUGGUGUCUCUGGGAGCUCAGGGCCUUCAGCCCAUGCCAGGGGAGUCUGUUGGUGCCCUGGGGAAGCAGGGAGAGGCGUGGGAGCAGCCUGCGAGGCAGCGACAGGCAGCUUGGCUCUUCUUAAAAAAGGGAGACUUGGGAAGGGGGUGUUCUGGGAAACACAGGCCUUACAGAGAUGGGACCAUGCGUGAGAACAGCGGUUCCUGCCAAGACACUGAGCACAGAAGAAAGUGCAUGGUGUGUUUGGGAUUCCAAGCAUUUUCCAGCAGAGCAGGGACAUGUUCAGCAGCGGGAAGAUGGCCCACUGAGUGGGUUGGGAGCCUGUGUGCUCACCUUCUGCUGACAGCCCUACGUGCAGCCAGCACAAGCCCUUUCUGCUAACACUGCUCUGCUAGGAGCUCUUGCAGUCAGUCUGCCUGUGCAGCCCUCAUCCUUACAUGAGUGUGCAGCUUGCUGAAUGUACAGAGGAUUCAGAGCAUAGGGCUUCCACCCCAACCCUGGAACACCAACAGGCUGACACUUCAGUGCAGGUGCAACCUGCUUGCUUUCCUGAAGCUCCUGCUGGGCUGGAGCAACCUUUGGGGAUCAGGGAGCUUGUGGUGGCUGCAGGAGAUCCCUAGGAACCUUCAUGACUGGGAGGUCCCACCAAUCACUGACUGCAGCAUCCCCAUGCAUGGAUCUUCUUGCUCAACAGCUGCCUCAGUGCCUGCUGGUCUGUGAGCAGAGGCUGGGCCACAUACUUUGUUCCUUGAUGCCUGAGUAGUGAUGGGGCUCAGACCAGGAGCUGUUGGCCAGCCAGAGCUGCCAGCAGGGAUGAGAAUGGUAGGGAUGUUUGUGAGGCAGGGAUCAGCUGUGUCAUAUGUAUGAUGAGCUCUGUGGCCUCAGAAACAGUGAGCAUGGGGGAUUCCCUGCCCUUUUGCUUGCAGCCAGCCUCCCCCACUCAUUUUUCCCAGCUCUCUGGAUAAUCCCUAUCUAGCUGGAUUUGGGGGACAAUUUGCAGGGUCAUAGUGCGAGACCAUCUUGUUCCUUUGGUGCUAAUUAUGACAUGAGCCUUGCAAGGAAGCACCAGCCAGUGCUAACAGUGUGCAAGAUGAAGGAUACAGCAGUUCUGAUUUCUCUCUGUUGUGAACAGCUAAGAGCAUAACUAUCUGUCAGUGGGCCAUUUCAGCGUGAAACGGCAGUGAGACACUGCUGUGGCACUUUGGACUGAGAGCAGGAGAGAGAAGAGGUCUCUGAGAGAAGGGGAAGGGGGAGGUGAGAGAUAAACUGAAUUUAAAUGGAUUAGGCCUGUCUGUCCAAAGUCCUUUUGUUUCCUGCCACCUCCCUGGUGUGACUUUCACAGCUGUGUUCUGUGGGGCUGAGGGCCUGGCCUCAGGGUCCCUGCAAAGUCAGCAGGAGCACUGCACCUCUGGGGCAUUGCUGUGAGCAGCUGGAGGAGGGUUCUGAAGCCAGCACCCCAGGACAGAGAAACCCUUUUGGUUCCUCUGAUAUCUUUCCUAUUCCCUCAGUAGGUGAUGGCCUCAUGAAUUGUCUCCAUCACCACUGCUCCGUGGGUAAUACAUGGGAAAGCAUCACCAUCUCACUGCUCUGACCCUCUCAUUUUUCAGAGGUUCUCUUUUGCUUUGGCCCUGGCGUCAUGUUUUUCCCCGGGCAGCCAAAGUGGAUGUUUGUGCAGGUGCUGGUAGGUGCAAACAGGGCUGGAGGGCAUAUGUGGUGAACUGCCCUUGGAAACGCCAGGGCUAGGGAGGAUUUCCCUCUUGGACAGACGUUGAGUUACCAGGUGCUGCUCCUCAGCUGGCAGCCCAGUGCAGGGCCGUGGGGAGGGAGCAGUAGGAGGACUUGGAAUCAGAAACAGAAAAGUAAAGUAACAUCUCAAGUAAAAUAUGUGAACAUUUCUGUUGGUUGGUGAGGCGCUUUGCUUCAAAGCUCUUCUUAAUUUUUAAUGAGGUGACUUGAAUUGUGCAAGUUGUCCUGGAUCCAAACCAUGCCUCUGGAGAGUUCCAAAAUAAAGUGGUUUAAAUUUUUUUUCCCCAGAUCUCUCCUUAACCAGGCUAAUACAACAGCCUUGGUAUGAAUUUCUAGAAAGUUUUGAUUAGGCCAGAAAGUUAUACAUGGGCCACUACUACUUACUCUGCAUUUGUUUUUGACAGACUUUCAUUCAAACUUCACCAACCUUAACUUGAGUUAAGGCCACAACCCCACUGCAACUGCAUCCAGCUCUGGGAUUUGCCCCCAGCAAGCAGCUCUCUGCUCCACCGUGGCUUUGUGGGCACCAGCGGGCUCCAGGCCAUGGUGUUUGUUGUUAAUUAGCUCCUGGUCUGUGCCAGGGGCGCACACAAACAGCACGGGGCUAUGGUGAGAAGCACUGCCCACAGGAUAAGCUGGGCAAGGAAAACACAUCCGUCUUUAUGUCUCUUGGCCUGAGACGGAAUUUCGUCUGCUGGUGUUUUCCUGGCAGAUGCUUCAGUGCAUAACACAAUUCACCUUGGGAGCCAGAUGCCUGGGAGCCUGCUCCCAUUUCUGGUGAGAGGUGUCAGCCCUGGCUAGCAAUGAGGGCAAGCAUGGUGAGGAGCUGGUGGUUGUGGCACACGCUGUAUAGGAGAAGGAUGCUGCCCUGGCCAGGACCCUGUGGCAGCAUGGAUCUGCCUGCAUGCACAGCUGUGUUCAUCCCCGAGCAAAAGGGCAAACCCCACACCCUGUGAGCAGCCCCUAGCCCAGGUGUAAAGCUUUAAGCCCACAAUGUGGACACAACAGAAACAAGCGGUCCUUGGGAGGCAGUGAGCCAGAGCAGGAGCACAGAGCAGUUGGCUGCAGCCCGCGGCUUGGUGUCUGAUAAGGAGGUUGCUAGUGCUGUCUUGCAGCAUGUUCAAUCUGCCAGUUUUUCUGCAAUGAAACGUCCUGGUGAAACACCUCCCACCCUUGCCUCUCUCUGAUCCCCUCCAAAGCGGAGCUGAGAUUGGAAUGUCUCCUGGGAUACAAUUCCCUCUAGCCUAAGGGGGAUUGCAUUAAUAAAAUGCAAUAUGAGAUGUGAAGGCACUGGGGGAGGGAGGCAGCCAGGACUGCUGGGACAGGGCUGUUAUGAACAUGCUGUGGGUCUGCUGGAAAUGUCCCAUCCUGUCCUUCCUCCCUCUCCUGUCCCCGGCACUGAGCUGUGGAAUUCAGGGUGUGGGUUGAGGUGUUCUUCAUGCACGUUUCUGCUCAGGGCAGCCCAACUCCUGGUCCCCCCCUCACUCUCUCCUCAGCAAACGGCACUGAACCAGCAGGUACUUCUCCCCCAGCGCCUCUCUCCCACGCAGCCUCCCUGCCACUGAGACCCUCCUGCCCCUCCACAUCACUCAGGCAUCUCCUCAGCCUGUGCUUUUGCCUGCAGUAAGCUGAAGCCGGACAAAAAGCAUGCAGUGUUCCAAUGGAGGAGCACACGGAUGUCCUCUGCCUUGAUCUCAGCACUCUGUGGUGGAGGCUGCAGCUGAAAGAGCAUUUCAGCAGAAGCAACCACAAACCAGUGCAGAACCGGGGUUCCCUGUGCGUUUGCAGGGGCUAUUAGCCUUCCACGUGGAGAGAAGACACGCGUCAACUGCUUCUACAGAGGACAGAAAAGCAAAGCAAAGCAAUUUCCAUCUGAGAACAGAUGCUGGGAGCUGCAGGGCUGGACAGUCAGUAGGGCAGAGGAGAACAAUGGGGUGAUUGAAACCCAUGAGAUAUUUUGGAGAGCUGAAACAAAGGGCCCUGAAUCACAGGUGGUUGUGAACUGCUUGCAGAGAGGCUGCACCAUUGCUCAGGGUCUUCCAGGCUGCCGUAUAGGCAUUAUAUCCUUGCUUGGGAACAGGGGUAUCUGGGGGAGGUAGCCUGUUAAAGUAAUAUUGUAGUUCAAAGCAGUAGCUGUUCAUGAGUUGGUGCUAACAGCCUCCUUAGAGGUCACAGAUGCCUCUGCCUGAGACACAGCCCCCACCUUCACUGCCAUAUUCACUUGUGUGUUGUUUUGCUCAGACUGCUCUGAGCCGUAAGCCCCCAGCAGCCAUGAGCCGUAAGCAGACGUAAGCAGCUCUCUGCUUGGGAAAACUGCCGGGAGCAGCUCUCUGGAGAUGUCUGCUGUGUCUGCAGCACAGAGGAGGGAAGUGAGACCAACCAGGGAGCACAACAGAGGAAAGUGGCCUCUGGGCAGACAUUUGGAUGAGGAGGAAAUGCCAAACCCCAGGCCCAUCGCUGGGACAGUGCAGGUAAAACACAGAGCCCUGUAAAGGCGUGAGCUCGCUCCAGGGCUGCACAGCAGUGGUAUCCCCUGCAAGGGUGUGAGCUUGCUGCUUUAGACUCCAUGGAACAGCCUGGCAGAUCCCAUCAGGAUAAAGGGCAGCACACUGCAGCCUUAUUACUCAGCUCCUUUAGCUACACACAAAUCAAACAUGCUGUGACUAUUUUGUUGUAUGCUUGUGGGUUCUCUGCUGCGUUGAAGGAAACAAAACAGGUCUCAGGUUUGCCAUCUUGCCUUGUACUUAGCAGUAAAUUUACAUUGCUCACACUGUUGUCCUCAUGAUCUGAGUGUAUGCUGGAGAUGUUUUGGAAGAGGUCAUUUCACCAGGACUAACUGAUGGUUUUUGGGACACACAGGCCCUUCUUUGACUGGGUUCAAUACAUGCCCCCUCUUUCCACAUCAAGGGAUGAGGGGAAUCCCUCCUACAAGGUAAGGUGUUCACCAGUCAGCAGUUCAUUUUCUCUCAGGGAAAAUGAAUCCAUCUUCCAUGUGUGGUGCCUUUCUCUACAAGCAGCUCACAGGGGCAUUAGGUGGGACAGAUAAAUGCAGAAAUGGACUUGCACCUCUCAGAAUGCAUGGGUGUGGCUGAGAGAAGCCUCUUUUGAUGGGGAAAAGCUCUCCAAGAACGGGGAGCAGAGCGAUCUUGCUAGUGGUCAGAUGUGCUCCAGCAGCCAGGUGCUGGGGUUCAGGUGGGAAACACUUGUGACAUUAAUGGAUUCGCAUUAGGAAGAACCUUAAUACCAAAAGUGGACAUACACGAAUGAGUUAAAAUCAUUUAGUUGCUUUGUGAAAUUUAUUGAAAACUACGCUGUUCAUCUGUCGAAACUUCACAGCUGUUGAGAUUGCCCUCAGGGCAAACCACAUCCAAGAAAUGGCAUGUAGAUCUUGGGAGCACAAGGCUUGAAAGAUGAAACUGCGCUCUGUAGCGCUGCCUUUGCUUCCCGUGUAGUCACAUCCAGCCAUCUGCUGCUCCUCCGCUUGGACACUUCGCUUCUUAAUUCCUCCCUUUCCCAUCUCUGAUGAGAAAACAUCAGCUAUAGAGCUGCAGUGUGUGCCGCCGAGCGUCACCUCCCUCCGACAGCACUGCUUUGUGGUCCCUUGGAGGAGCCAGCAGAUGAAAGAGUGAUGCUCUGUAUGGACUUGGAAGACUGAACUCAACCACUCAGCACAAGCAAAAUUAGGGCCAGCCAGGGCUCAAAGAUAAAAACACAAACAGGACAUGAGAAACUGCAAUAUGUACUCAGUCAGAAGUGAUUCAUGGAGUAAUUUUGAGUAACAAACGCGCUGCUAAGCACUGGAGGUUUUGUUGCUUUUUUUUGGGGGACCAUCCACAAACACAAACAUUGGCUAAUUCAUCAGACGCUUUCUUUUGCUUUGAAUAGUUUGCCCAAUUCCCCGAGCUCCCAUCCUGUGCCGCUCGCUGCUAACCCAGAUAACGCGAAUGCAGGUACACCCAUAGCACUGCCCAGAUCUGCCCAUGCACGCAGUAAUUGGGGCACUCCAAGCGCAGACGUGUAGCUGGGAGGCUCUGUAGGCAUCUCCGGGUGGCGAUCGGCGCACUGCGGUGUGGGGCAGGGAUGGAAGGGCUGCGUGCAGUGCCUGGGUGAGGCUUCCUAGGAGCUGCGGGUGGCACUGAGCCCCUCAGCAGGACCGCAGCCUGGCAAGGAGAGCGGCUGGCCGGCCCCUGGUGGGGGAAGGAGAUGUGCGAUGGAGGCAGAGGGCUGCAUUCCUUACCUGUGAAAUAACCCCUUGAAAUCAAAUGCUCGGGGAAUUCCGAGGUCUCUGCAGCAACAUUUCGGCGGUGACAGUGUGAGGAUUUAAGUGAGGCAGGCUCUGCAAAUAGAGAUUAUGAUCUGCUUUUAGACCAAGAGAGCAGUUGGGAAAAUAGACCCACUUUUUGCAGACCCCAUCUCACCGAUCCUGCUGCUAAUUGGAGGGGACAUGCAGCCCAGAGCUGAGUUACUCAGAAAGAAUUGGUUUGGGGUAAACGGUUCCAGAACUACUCAGAAAUUAACUGCUGUCUUUCAGAUUUAUAGGUCCCCUAAUCCAAAAUGAACUCUAAGUGUAGGCAAGCCCUAACACUUGGAUUAUUAUGUAAGGAGGAAUCUUACGGAGCAGAAGAGAAAGAGGCAGAAGCAAGGCUAUGAAACAAGG